rnacentral:rRNA from 1 species
AGUUCGGUCCCUAUCCGUCGCAGGCGUAGGAAAUUUGAGAAGACCUGUCCUUAGUACGAGAGGACCGGGAUGGACGUACCUCUGGUGUACCAGUUGUCCUGCCAAGGGCAUGGCUGGGUAGCUAUGUACGGAAUGGAUAAGCGCUGAAAGCAUCUAAGCGCGAAGCCAACUUCAAGAUAAGAUUUCCCACCGCAAGGGUAAGACCCCAGAAAGACUAUCUGGUUGAUAGGUCGAAGGUGUAAGUGCAGCAAUGUA